UCCUACGGGAGGCAGCAGUAGGGAAUCUUCCGCAAUGGACGAAAGUCUGACGGAGCAACGCCGCGUGAGUGAUGAAGGUUUUCGGAUCGUAAAGCUCUGUUGUUAGGGAAGAACAAGUGCGAGAGUAACUGCUCGCACCUUGACGGUACCUAACCAGAAAGCCACGGCUAACUACGUGCCAGCAGCCGCGGUAAUACGUAGGUGGCAAGCGUUGUCCGGAAUUAUUGGGCGUAAAGGGCUCGCAGGCGGUUUCUUAAGUCUGAUGUGAAAGCCCCCGGCUCAACCGGGGAGGGUCAUUGGAAACUGGGAAACUUGAGUGCAGAAGAGGAGAGUGGAAUUCCACGUGUAGCGGUGAAAUGCGUAGAGAUGUGGAGGAACACCAGUGGCGAAGGCGACUCUCUGGUCUGUAACUGACGCUGAGGAGCGAAAGCGUGGGGAGCGAACAGGAUUAGAUACCCUGGUAGUCCACGCCGUAAACGAUGAGUGCUAAGUGUUAGGGGGUUUCCGCCCCUUAGUGCUGCAGCUAACGCAUUAAGCACUCCGCCUGGGGAGUACGGUCGCAAGACUGAAACUCAAAGGAAUU
rnacentral:rRNA from 1 species